rnacentral:rRNA from 1 species
GAUGAACGCUGGCGGCGUGCUUAACACAUGCAAGUCGAACGAUGAAGCCCAGCUUGCUGGGUGGAUUAGUGGCGAACGGGUGAGUAACACGUGAGUAACCUGCCCUUAACCCUGGGAUAAGCCUGGGAAACUGGGUCUAAUACCGGAUAGGAGCGUCCACCGCAUGGUGGGUGUUGGAAAGAUUUAUCGGUUUUGGAUGGACUCGCGGCCUAUCAGCUUGUUGGUGAGGUAAUGGCUCACCAAGGCGACGACGGGUAGCCGGCCUGAGAGGGUGACCGGCCACACUGGGACUGAGACACGGCCCAGACUCCUACGGGAGGCAGCAGUGGGGAAUAUUGCACAAUGGGCGCAAGCCUGAUGCAGCGACGCCGCGUGAGGGAUGACGGCCUUCGGGUUGUAAACCUCUUUCAGUAGGGAAGAAGCGAAAGUGACGGUACCUGCAGAAGAAGCACCGGCUAACUACGUG